UACAGGGGGUGCAAACGUUGCUCGGAAUCAUUGGGCGUAAAGCGCACGUAGGCGGUUCGUUAUGUCGGAUGUGAAAGCCCUUGGCUUAACCGAGGAAGUGCAUCCGAAACUGGCGAGCUAGAGUACUAAAGAGGAUCGCGGAAUUCCCGGUGUAGUGGUGGAAUGCGUAGAUAUCGGGAGGAACAUCAGUGGCGAAAGCGGCACCCUGCAUUAGCCUGACGCUCAUGUGCGAAAGCGUGGGGAGCGAACGGG
rnacentral:rRNA from 1 species